CGGCGCUGUCUCCACCCGAGACUCAGUGAAAUUGAAAUCGCUGUGAAGAUGCAGUGUAUCCGCGGCUAGACGGAAAGACCCCGUGAACCUUUACUAUAGCUUUGCACUGGACUUUGAAUUUGCUUGUGUAGGAUAGGUGGGAGGCUUUGAAGCGUGGACGCCAGUCUGCGUGGAGCCAACCUUGAAAUACCACCCUGGCAACUUUGAGGUUCUAACUCAGGUCCGUUAUCCGGAUCGAGGACAGUGUAUGGUGGGUAGUUUGACUGGGGCGGUCUCCUCCUAAAGAGUAACGGAGGAGUACGAAGGUGCGCUCAGACCGGUCGGAAAUCGGUCGUAGAGUAUAAAGGCAAAAGCGCGCUUGACUGCGAGACAGACACGUCGAGCAGGUACGAAAGUAGGUCUUAGUGAUCCGGUGGUUCUGUAUGGAAGGGCCAUCGCUCAACGGAUAAAAGGUACUCCGGGGAUAACAGGCUGAUACCGCCCAAGAGUUCAUAUCGACGGCGGUGUUUGGCACCUCGAUGUCGGCUCAUCACAUCCUGGGGCUGAAGCCGGUCCCAAGGGUAUGGCUGUUCGCCAUUUAAAGUGGUACGCGAGCUGGGUUUAGAACGUCGUGAGACAGUUCGGUCCCUAUCUGCCGUGGACGUUUGAGAUUUGAGAGGGGCUGCUCCUAGUACGAGAGGACCGGAGUGGACGAACCUCUGGUGUUCCGGUUGUCACGCCAGUGGCAUUGCCGGGUAGCUAUGUUCGGAAAAGAUAACCGCUGAAAGCAUCUAAGCGGGAAACUUGCCUCAAGAUGAGAUCUCACUGGAACCUUGAGUUCCCUAAAGGGCCGUCGAAGACUACGACGUUGAUAGGUUGGGUGUGUAAGCGCUGUGAGGCGUUGAGCUAACCAAUACUAAUUGCCCGUGAGGCUUGACCAUAUAACACCCA
rnacentral:rRNA from 1 species